AUAUUAUAUUCCUCUAGGGAAAGAAGUAAAUCGUAAAUAAGUUUAAAAUGAAAUUUUACCACGGAUUUCUGGCGAUAUUAUUUAUUAUGUUCGUUAGAUGCCAUAAUUCGCAGGCUCUCAAACAUAAAGGCUAUAGAGAUCAAGCUAUAAGAGACAGCGACGAUGUAAGACCAAACAGCAACGGUGACAAUAUUAUAACUGGAGAUAAUGUUAGAAAUCGAGUGCAAAUUAAUGGCAAGACUAUUGAAACUGGUACAACUGACAAUGAAUCGAAUUGGAAUAAUAAUGGAAACCGAUAUCAGUCUAGGGAAAACAACAACGACAAUAUUAUAACUGGAGAUAAUGUUAGAAAUCGUGUGCAAAUUAAUGGCAGGACUAUUGAAACUGGUACAACUGACAAUGAAUCGAAUUGGAAUAAUAAUGGAAACCGAUAUCAGUCUAGGAAAAACAACAACGAUUAUACAAGAAAUCGAAAAAACAAAUUACUUAAAUAUAAAUUCUUCAUAAAAUUUUAGAAUCAUAAUGGGCACAAUAUUAAACAUCAAGGAAGGACAACUAUUUCACAAUCAUCAGAUAACAAUUAAUCGAACACUGAAGAGUUAGUUAGAGAGAGCCCGAGAACAUUCAAACAUAUAACAGGUUCGAGUAAAUGUAAAUUUUUAAAUCUUCUAAUAAAAUUGUUAUUAGAUAUAUAAAUUUAUUUAAUGAGGGAAGAAAAAUAAAAAUAAUGUUAAAAAAAAUACUUAAAAGAA